GAGCCGGCUCCGGAGCCGUUAGUCCGGAGCCGGCUCCGGAGCCGUUGGUGCGCUCCGAAACGCCCAUCACUAGCUCAAACAUUUGGGAAAAAUGGGCAGAGAAGAGUUCACAAAUCUCAACAGGAGUAGAGGCAGUUAGAGAGUCAAGUACCAUUUCGUUAGGUAACGUAUUGCACCCUCUUCGUACCCUAACAAAUCGCCAGAAGGAUGCUGGAUCAGAACGGAAACGCGAUUGCAGUCUACUCGUAUAGGCCUCAAAACGAGCCCUGUUGUACAAUCGAUGCGCAGAGGCUCCAAACACGUAUUUACUCUUGUUUAACAUGGCAUUAUUGUUUUCAAGUACUAUAAGAACAUGCUGCAAUCUCUUGUCAUGUUUUUCUUUAGUGCGACCCGAAACAACGAUAUCGACCUCUUCAAUGGCAUCAAGCAUGUUUGCCAUUAUUCAUUAUUCAUUAUUCAAGCAUGAGUGUUUCUAAUAGUCUGAUGUACACAAAGGUUAUCCGUAUAAAAAAUAUUCGACUGCAUGUCCUCGGCGCGGACCAGUGUGCUUCGAGAAAUGUGCCGCAGAUUCAGCAUUGCAUCCGAUGAAUUCAGGUAUCAUCAACGUUUUCAAGCAUCAUACCGCAGUCUUGGCUUUGGCUAAGACAGAUUCGGGAAGGGGUCCCGCGGUCUUGACAUAAAGUGUGAAACCCUGUAAUCUGAGUUUGAGUAAAUAAUAUGAGUUUGUGGGAUUGAGACUCAACAUUUUCCAUUUGCAUCAACAGCUCGAGGGCGCGAUGCCACUCUUUCCAUUCACGACGUAAAUCAUUGGCAUCCGCUUUGUCGUUCAACGCUCCGGACUAGCUUUGCCAAUAGUUAAUACAAAUCCUUCGGGUUAAUAACAAUAUUACACCCAUCACGAUUAUUAUUCAGGACCAAAACAAAUCCUCCGACCUCACUCUCGCCAAGCAAACCAAGCAAACAAAAAAGUGGUUUUCCUAACCUCACAUUUGUUUUCCAUCUUCCUGUUACGUUCUUGAACUAAAUCACAUGGAAAAUUUACCCACACUUUCAGUAUGUCAAUGUAUACGUUAUUAAGCAAAUGAUUAUGGCCAUUGAAAAUAUAACCAAAUAUUAAUUAAUUUUUUCUUUUUUUUUAGUACUCAGUAGUUUCUUAUUUUACAGUGAGGUAAUUCAACUAUGCGUCACCAUCACGUUGCACAACUCAAUUUAUCUCUUUUGAUAUGUUGUGAACUGCUCUUUGCACUUAUUAUUUUAUUUAAAACAUAUAAAAUAAAUAAUAAAACACAAUGAGCAAACGAUUAACACUUUAAAAUAUACAAGUACGGUGGCCGCGCACCAGCCGCACCGAGCGCCCCUGCCGAGGGCUCCUGCUCGAUCGGCUCGCUAACACACUCUAAUCGUGCGCUCGGCACACACUAAGCCUUGCGCUGCUUAGUGUGUGCGACAGUGUGCGUGACACACUGUCGUCCUUCUGGACGUUGCAGCGGUGGCAGCGCAACUGCCACGGCAAGUCCAGGGGUCGGCACGGCUGCCCACAACAUGAUAUUUUGUCAAUUUUCUUACUGGUUCUGUAACUGUCCAUGGAUUCUCUAUUUCUUCAAUUACUAUACAGUAAACUAACCAUAAAAAUCCUACCGGCUGCCCCAAAAUUGUUGGGUUCUCUAGAUUUCCAAAUCACUCCACCUCAGUGUAGGAGUUGAGAGGCGUAUAGCAGGAAUUAAAUAUCCAAGCGUCGCGGAAAGGUCAGAAAAUAUGAGACGGGAGGAAACUGUAUUACCUAACGGGCAGCGCAUAGAAAUUUGAAAUAAGGCGAAAGACGGAGAGAGACAGAGAGAGAGACCAAACAAGCGGUGAUAUUGUUCAAAUUUCUGCAAGCCGUAGACUUAUUUUAGGCAGCUUGAGGCGAGCGCCAAAAUUAAAAUCUAUUUACCCAGAGAUUCGAUCCGAAAAGAACGUUCGUAUAGCAUUCGCUCCUAUUUAUAAUCUUUCGGUUUACCGCCAUUCCGUUUCCAUCAAACCUUUUUCUAUCGUUUUGGCCGAUUAUCCUUCGCUAAUAUUUCACGCUUCCGAUCUCUCAAACCUAUGGCAUAGCUCUAGCCAUCCUACACUGUCAGUGCCGCUCAACUCUGUUCGUAACACUGCAGUUACAUUUUUUACUGAAAGCUAUUGAAUAAUACAUGGUUUUGUCGUUUCACUGAAUAUCAGUAAAACAAAUCACUGUAAAAGCAGCCUUUUAUUCUGUCAUUAGUAGUAGUAGUAUUUGUUUAUUGAAUGCAAUUAUUGCGCGUAUCGCAUUUUUCCUAUAAUUUUUAAUGGGUCCGUCAAUUUAGACUGUCCUCAUUGUUCUUUAAUAUUCGUUAUAUAUAACAUUAAUGGAGUGCUAUUUUGCUAAUUCUAGGAAUGGUUUUUGGGUGAUAGUGGGAAAAUUAUCACAAAAACCCACUGAAAAGUUUUAUGUAAGAGCUAACCUAUAACUAUCUAUGGCCUAAAGUAACCUAUCUAAUCCUACGUAAUAACUAACUAAGAAUCAUAGCACUAGCUGUUGUAUUAAGCUGUUGGAACUAUUACGGCACUAGUUUGUAUAAUUGUUGUAUAGCUUUUCAAUAUGGACAUUUAUAUAUUCAGUGUUCUGCCUACUGUGUAUGGAAGCUGUUCUAUACCAUGGAGGAACGGUAAUGAUAAUUUUUAGAAUCUUAUUCUGUAAUACUUGUAAUCUCUUUUUAUGGGUGGAUGCGCAAAAUGUCCAUAUGGGGGUAGUCAAAAGGGGUCUGUCAAAACGACAUGCCUGAGCCUCAAAAGAAAACAUAAUGCGAUGCCCGCUUGCUCGUGAUGAACAAAAAUUUGAUUUGGUAACCGCUUACAGACACCCCGAUAAAAUUUUAGGUGCGUAUUCGACUUGCGGGAUAGUUUUGGUUGAGAAAAAUCUUCACACCACUUUGCUAUUCUUGUUGAAAUUUCGUGAUAACCGUGAGUGCAUACCAAAUCAACAAACUUGUUUCGACAAAAUACAGUUCACAUCUGUAUAAAACUUUAUGAAACAGAUAUGAACAUGAGCAGAAUAGACUGCCACCCUGCGCAUCAAUAAAAACCCCAAUUUCAAUACUUUUUUUUCGCCAAUUUUUAAUCGAUAUCAAUGACUAAACAAUCAGUAAUAUCAGAAAGGCUUUGUGGUAUUUUCAAAUUGUGGGUACUAUGGAUACAGCUUCGAAGAGGACUUUCGACACUUGAUCGUCUAGGCGAUCAUAAAAACCUUUAGGACGUUGGAGUUUAGAGGGCUUGCCUUGGGUAAUUAUAUUCCUGCAGUGCAGGCUUACCUUGGGUAAUAAUAACAUAAGUGAACUCCUUAAAUGAGAAGUCGAUAGAUGAUGGAUGGGCUUAGUCCUAUCCUGACAAUCCGAACAAAUCUGACUCGUCAUGAUCGGAGUUGGUUAUAUUUAUACUCAAAAAAGUUAAAGGUCGGAAAGUUGUCGUUUUCGCUAAGCUAGUUACGUGUGUCUUUUAUUGACAAGAACGAAGGUUCUAAACGAUAUUUUCUUUCCUACUUUACAGUUUCCAGCUCGUGUUGCAUAGUACGGAAGAUUUGAUUUAAAAUCGUCAUCGUGAGCAUAACAUGAAAACAAUAUUUCGCUUUUACGUUGGUGUUUACCUUUACAAUGAAUACUGAAGUACUGUUUUGCUUCGAGUUACGGCCACUUCAUUUUCAAUCGGGCAGAGCGAUAACUUCUUGCACGCGGGAAAAACAAUAUUUUCAUUCGAAAGUAACUGGAAAUACCCUGUAUUGCAGUAUGUUUGUCUCAAGUGAUCCGCGGACCACAGGUUGGAGACAACUGUUUUGAAUCAGCUGCUUUCUAAAUGAUCAAGCGCUGAGGGCCAGGAGAAUGCAUUUUUUACACAUACAUUAUUAUAUUAUUACAGUUAAUACACAAAAUAACUGGUUUAUGAUAUUAAACAAUGUGAUUGGUUAUAUUGUUGUUUUUCUUAAAUUAUUAUAGCAUCCAAGCAAGUUUCAAAUUCAUUUUAUUAAAUUACAAUUACUAAAAUUGAUUGUAAAGAUUCUUCAAAUGAGAGUCAACAGCAGAGUGUGUAAAAGUCAUAAAAAGUUCCAAACAAUUAAGCAAAAUCGCAAUAUCGCUUCUUAAUGUACCCUUCCUUCCAUGUUGCAAAUUGUUUUCAGGAUAUAUCUGAAGAUGGUACAAACACCUUAACAGCUGAAAAAUUAUCGAGACAAACGUACAAUCGUUCAGUACUAUUAUGAGGCCACGGACAAGAAAGGCCAGGUCAGACAAAUUGAUAGCGCAUUUCCUUUAAAAAAAACUCCCAUGUGUGUAACCAUUGUUCUCGUAAAAUCAACAGUCAGGUUUUUAUGGAAUUAUUCGUUUCUAUUUUCUAAUUUCUCCUCAAAUUUGACCAUAUUGAUUGGUCGACAAUCCAUGUUAUGGUGAUCAAAUUUGGAGGAGUUCAACGAUAUGAAUUGUCAUAUUAAAAUAUGUUCAGUUAAUUUUUAAUGAAUAGGAUCUUCCUAUCUUUCAUAAUCGCGCAAAUAUUUUCUCGGGCCUGACUGCAUAUUGUGGCGGGCAGGACUUUGCCGAUCGAUUUCCUUUCCGUCGACCCUUCCAAAUUUGACCCAAACCCUUCAACAGCUUGCCUUUCCACCAUCACUUUGUCCAGUCCACAAUUUUGACUGGGGCCCCAAAAGUAAGCCGGGCACGAGUUCUUAGUUUUUGCGUGAUAAAAUAGAGACAGGCCAAAUUAAAGAGCGCACACAUCGACAUCGGAAUCGAUUCUUGAAUGAAAUCUCCACAGAUAAAAACAGCGUGCUUGGUGUCAGCCAAUUUUUCUUGCUAAUUCCUACGGCUACGAACCGUUGUGAGAUCGGGUUCGGAGCCUUUUAUUGUCGUAUGUGUUGUUUAGGUAGCGCAGGUGUAGCCGCGACUCAAUGCUGUCACGUAACUGACAGCAUGUGAUGUCAAAAAGGCCGGGAAGGACUUCGGCAGCGAUCGGGUGAUCGAUCGCUGCGACUCGGUAUCAGGCUGCGGACUAGGAUGGUCGUUGUUUUAUAAAUGUUGUAAAUAGAGUAUAAGUUUUAUGAAGAGCCCGAGUGUGCCGUUUUAUUUGAGUGUGUCAAAUGUACGUCCCGUUCCGAAACACAACAGUAUGUGCAUGUAGUUUACGUGAGGCAUCUCUUGUAACGAAUUUUCGCUUCAUCCAACUCGUGCGUAGCGUUCAAUGCAUCUGAUAAAUAAAAUAAAUAUGCUUCUAAUAGGUCUGGUAGUAAUAGUAAAUAUGAUUGUACACAUAAACCCCGGAGGGGAGGGGGGGGGGAAUGGGGGUAUAUUGGGUUGACAACACCAAAUGGAAGGGGCCCCUCAAUCGACGGGAUCAUCAACGGGGCCCCAAAUGGCCGAGGCAAUGGAGAUUGUUCUUCGUAUUAUGGCUGUGUAUGGCUGUAUGUAGACCCGACGGACAAAGAGAACGGGGUAGGUAUUUCAGGCGAGGGGUAGGUAGAAACACGCGGUGGGAGCCCGGCCCUAGAUCGGAUCCAAAGUCCGUUGUUUUGGGCUCGAAAUUAAAAAUGGCGGAUGGAGCGCUCCCUGGGAGAGGAGUGCGCUCUCUCGUUUGCAUUCAAAAUACACGGUACGCUCUCUCGAAUUCGCGAGGUUGUUUUCUUUCAUUGUGUGAGUGAAACAUCGCGGAUCUUGCAAUGGUGUGCGUGUCGUAGCUUGCUGCGUUUAUUCAAAGCUGUCAAAUCAAACUCUGUUUACAAUUUCAUAUCGGCCAAAUAGUCGGAGUUAUUUGAAUAGUGGAACUGGAAACGGAAACAAAAUAUUUUACAGCCGUGCAUCGUUUGUGUGUUUGCAAAACAGUGAUAUUGUCCUGGAAAGUAAGAAGAAGUAAAAAUGUCGACACCCGCAAAGCAUUUGUUUUGUGACCAAAAUAUGGUGGAAUCGCAAAAUGAACCGCUGGAACCUGCUGUGCCAGUUAUAGUGCAUGGACCAACUGUUAUGCCCUUAUCUAGCGUACCAACUGGCCGACCAAGAUGCAAAGUGAAUCGAGCUAAUCGAGAAUCAUCCGUAACAAGUGUUGCUGAAGUUGUGUCUCCUGUUACUACGCAUUCUAUCGGUAACAUAUACGGAAUGCAGCCAUCGACGUCGGCAAUCAAUGUGAAUUCUGCUGCCUCAUCCGUUGUUCCUUCGAUUAAUUUGAAUACGGCAGCUUUGCUUCCUUUUGGGACCGUGAUCCGGACCAUUGCACCAUCCACGGCAGGUGCUGUAACAUCCGUAGUAGCAUCGACGGGAAAAACACCAACGUCAGCCACGUAUAGCGGAGGAAUAUAUGGCUUGCAGCCUUCGUCGUAUGCUGCUGUACCUUCAAGUAUCUCGUCGGUUAGAAUGCCUAGGGCAUUUAUGUUUCCAUCAGGAAAAUGAUCCGUUUCCCUGCACCAACGGUAUCUGUGCACGGUUCAGCAGCAGUGCCUACGUCGGGAACAAGUACGGCAUGGCAUAUGCAGCCAUCGACGACUACUACAAC